rnacentral:lncRNA from 1 species
CGGCCGCCCCUACUGGAAAGUGAGGAGCUCCUCUGCCCGGCCAGCCGCCCAGUCCGGGAGGGAGGCGGGCGGGGGUCGGCCAGCCGCCCCGUCCGGGAGGGAGGUGGAGGGGGUCAGCCCCCCUUCCGGCCGGCCGCCCCGUCCGGGAGGUGAGGGGCGCCUCUGCCCGGCCGCCCCUACUGGGAAGUGAGGACCCCUCUGCCCGGCCAGCCGCCCCGUCCGGGAGGGAGGUAGGGGGGACAGCCCCCCGCCCGGCCAGCCGCCCUAUCCAGGAGGUGAGGGGCGCCUCUGCCCGGCCGCCCCUACUGGGAAGUGAGGAGCCGCUCUGCCUGGCCAGCCGCCCCGUCCGGGAGGGUGGUGGGGGGUCAGCCCCCGCCCGGCCAGCCGCCCCAUCCGGGAGCUGGAUCUACCAUGAAAGACUUCAGAGUCCAGGAAGAGAGACUGACUGGGCAACAUGUUAUUCAGUUACAAAAAGACUUGGACUAUGACUCAAAAAUGAUCAAAUAAUAGUUCAUGCAUC